rnacentral:rRNA from 1 species
AACGAACGCUGGCGGCGCGCCUAAUACAUGCAAGUCGAGCGAGAAGACGUAGCAAUACGUUUGUAAAGCGGCGAACGGGUGAGGAAUACAUGGGUAACCUACCCUAGAGUGGGGAUAACUAGCCGAAAGGUUAGCUAAUACCGCGUACGCUCCUUGGACUUCGGUUCAGGGAGGAAAGCGAUACCGAGGGUAUCGCGCUCCUGGAUGGGCUCAUGUCCUAUCAGCUUGUUGGNGAGGUAACGGCUCACCAAGGCUUCGACGGGUAGCUGGUCUGAGAGGACGAUCAGCCACACUGGCACUGCGAC